GUAAAUUACAGUAUAUACUCGAGUAUAAGUCUAGUUUUUCAGCACAUUUUUUGUGCUUAAAAACCCCCACUCGACUUAUACUCGAGUCACUGUCUGUAUUAUGGAAACUUAGAGAGCCGUCAGAACCAUGGCAACGAUCAGCGCGGCAACCAGACUGCAAGACUUACAGUGGAGCUGACCGGAAUGGAGGAGAAGGGAGCUGACAGGAGCUGCAGGAAAGGUAAGUAAAUGCUUCCUGCCAGCCCCCCCACUUCACAGCCCAUGCCACUGGACCACCAGGGAUUAAGAUAGCCCUCCUCCCUGAC